rnacentral:lncRNA from 1 species
UAAUUUAAUGCAUUUUUAAUUGAUUUUUUAAUUGUUUAAUUGUGAAUAAAUUGUGUUGAGCUAUUUUUAUUGACUUGUGAAGUUUGACUAUUGUUGUUUGGGCCUUGGUCAAGGUUGAUUUGACUUUGUUGGAUUAAAAUCAUUGGAUUUAAGGGAUUGAUGGAAUGUACAUUCCAUCUCCCAAAAUGAACGAAUGACUUUAAUUUGAUAAAAUCCUUCCCUUGUCCAAUUUGUGUUUGUCUCAUUUCC